GAAAUGCGAUAAGUAGUGUGAAUUGCAGAAUUCAGUGAAUCAUCGAAUCUUUGAACGCACAUUGCGCCCUUUGGUAUUCCUUAGGGCAUGCCUGUUCGAGCGUCAUCUAAACCUUCAAGCCCUGCUUGGUGUUGGGUGCCUGUCCCGCCUCCGCGCGCGGACUCACCUCAAAUCCAUUGGCGGCCCCCGCUUCGGCCACGAGCGCAGCAGAAACGCGAACUCGUGAGCCCGUCCGGGCGGCUCCCAGAAGCUACACCCACCCAGUUUGACCUCGGAUCAGGUAGGGAUACCCGCUGAACUUAAGC
rnacentral:misc_RNA from 1 species